UGACAGAGCAAGAAUUUGAGUUGUAAUGCUCAGAGGAGGGAUUCCUAACUCUAGAGCUAUGCGGCAGAAAACUGCCAGGGGACCCAGCGAAGGCUAACACCGUUUCCUUGAAAUGGUCUCUGUUAGAAGGGGUUACACGAGCUACUGCUUCAUAGCAGGGGAAAAGGCCAACAAGAUAUGAGAAAUAAUGGCUUUAUGUUACCAAGGGAAAAAAGCCCCAGGACCCUGCUCCUCAUGAGGCUGAAUGUUCUCCAGCUGUUUCUGCCUAGGGCAUAACUACCCAGAUGGAUGCUGCUUGGAUAGGUGCUUGAAGUUGCCUAAGUCAGUUGUCAACCUGAGCUUGUAAACCCUGCUGAGAGGUGCUUCCUGAGCAGCUGCUGGAAAGAGCUGACUCUGCCCUGCUGCUCUGCUCUAUGUGCCAUCCCAGUACCUGUUCCUUUGAUCGGAGUGACCCAGCAAUUGCCCCAGCCUCGAGCAGUGGCACUGGAUCCACAUGGCCUUAAUGGUGUGCUGUACUUAACAGCAGUUUCUCUAAGGUGGGAAAGGAAGCUGAGGAGUGUCGGGUCUGUGUACAAGAGAAGCUGCAAGAUUUUGUGUGCUUUCAGUGCUGCUGGCAGGAGGAAGCCGUGUGCUAAGAGCUCUCCAGAUGGCCUUAUGAGAUGAUGCAUGUUUGAAGUGCUUUAAAUAGACUUGCAAACUAUACAGAGAAGGAGAAGGAAGGCUCCCUUGCUUGCAAAACUCCAUAUAUUACUGCUGGUAUGUACAUACUGAUCUUUCUUUUUGCUAGGGAGCAGCCUUGGACAAUUCAGCAUGACUUCUAUAGGAAGAGACCUCUGAAGGACACGGGGUGCAAUCCCCUGCUCAAAGGAGAGUCAUGUAGCUGGUUUCACAAGGCCAUGUGCAGCUGGGUUUUAACUGUCUUCAAACAUGGAGAUUCCACAACCUUUUGGGACAACCUCUUCAAUAUUUGGUUAUGGUAAAAAUAUGUUCUUCACAUCAAGUUGGACUUUCUUUUGUU
rnacentral:lncRNA from 7 species